UAUGAAUGGUAUAUUUUCUUG
rnacentral:miRNA from 2 species